rnacentral:tRNA from 1 species
GCGACCGUGGUCUAACGGUUAUGAUUGGGCCUUGCCAAGGCUCAGACCCGGGUUCAAUUCCCGGCGGUCGCA